rnacentral:rRNA from 1 species
UGUGAACCUAUCACGGGACGGGGGAGUACCCUGGGAAACCAGGGCUAAGACCGCGUACGCUCUCGUUGGGAGGAACAACGAGAGGAGAGGGGGGCGGUGAGGAGCGCCUUCUGGCCUGUGCGGGGCAUGCGUCCGAUUAGCUAGUUGGGGGGGUAAGAGCCCACCAAGGCGACGAUCGGUCGCUGGUCUGAGAGGAUGAUCAGCCACACUGGGACUGAGAGACGGCCCAG